GAUGAACGCUGGCGGCGUGCCUAACACAUGCAAGUCGAACGGAGUAUCUUUAACAGAAUUUCUUCGGAAAGGAAGAUAUUGAUACUUAGUGGCGGACGGGUGAGUAACGCGUGGGCAACCUGCCUCAUACAGGGGAAUAACAACCGGAAACGGUUGCUAAAACCGCAUAAUAUGCUAACAUCGCAUGAUGACUGCAUUAAAUAUUUAUAGGUAUGAGAUGGGCCCGCGUCUGAUUAGCUAGUUGGUGAGAUAAAAGCUCACCAAGGCGACGAUCAGUAGCCGGCUUGAGAGAGUGACCGGCCACAUUGGGACUGAGACACGGCCCAAACUCCUACGGGAGGCAGCAGUGGGGAAUAUUGCACAAUGGGGGAAACCCUGAUGCAGCGACGCCGCGUGAGUGAAGAAGUAUUUCGGUAUGUAAAGCUCUAUCAGCAGGGAAGAAAAUGACGGUACCUGACUAAGAAGCCCC
rnacentral:rRNA from 1 species